rnacentral:misc_RNA from 1 species
CAACCCUUAAGCUUAGCUUAGUGUUGGGAGACUGCCUAACCGCAGCUCCUCAAAAUCAGUUGGCAGAGUGUAGGUGUGCUCUGAGCGUAGUAAUUCUUUAUCUCGCUUCUGAAAGCCUUAUACUGUCGCCACAAACCUAUUAUCUUUUAAU